rnacentral:rRNA from 1 species
GUGGUCGGAGAUGACGGUACCUGCAUAAGAAGCCCUGGCCAACUACGUGCCAGCAGCCGCGGUAAUACGUAGGGGGCAAACGUUGUUCGGAAUCAUUGGGCGUAAAGCGCAAGCAGGCGGAUAUAUAAGUCAGUGGUAAAAGACCCGGGCUCAACCCGGGAUGUGCCAUUGAAACUGUAUGUCUUGAGUUGUACAGAGGCAGCGGGAACUCCUGGUGUAGGGGUGAAAUCUGUAGAUAUCAGGAGGAACACCGAUGGCGAAAGCACGCUGCUGGGUAACAACUGACGCUGAGAUGCGAAAGCCAGGGGAGCGAACGGGAUUAGAUACCCCGGUAGUCCUGGCUGUAAACGAUGCAUACUAGUUGUGGGAUAUAUUAAAAUAUUCAGCGACGAAGUAAACACAUUAAGUAUGCCGCUGGGGAGUAUGCCCGCAAGGGUGAAACUCAAAGGAAUUGACGGGGGCCCGCACAAGCGGUGGAGCAUGUGGUUUAAUUCGAUGAUACGCGAAAAAUCUUACCUGGGUUUAAAUACCAGCGGACCGCUUUAGAGAUAAAGCUUCCCUUCGGGGCCGCUGGUAAGGUGCUGCAUGGCUGUCGUCAGCUCGUGUUGUGAAAUGUUGGGUUAAGUCCCGCAACGAGCGCAACCCUCACCCUUAGUUGCUAUC